CAGGGUGACAGCCCCGUACACAAAAAUGCACAUGCUGUGAGCUCGAUGAGUAGGGCGGGACACGUGGUAUCCUGUCUGAAUAUGGGGGGACCAUCCUCCAAGGCUAAAUACUCCUGACUGACCGAUAGUGAACCAGUACCGUGAGGGAAAGGCGAAAAGAACCCCGGCGAGGGGAGUGAAAAAGAACCUGAAACCGUGUACGUACAAGCAGUGGGAGCACGCUUAGGCGUGUGACUGCGUACCUUUUGUAUAAUGGGUCAGCGACUUAUAUUCUGUAGCAAGGUUAACCGAAUAGGGGAGCCGAAGGGAAACCGAGUCUUAACUGGGCGUUAAGUUGCAGGGUAUAGACCCGAAACCCGGUGAUCUAGCCAUGGGCAGGUUGAAGGUUGGGUAACACUAACUGGAGGACCGAACCGACUAAUGUUGAAAAAUUAGCGGAUGACUUGUGGCUGGGGGUGAAAGGCCAAUCAAACCGGGAGAUAGCUGGUUCUCCCCGAAAGCUAUUUAGGUAGCGCCUCGUGAAUUCAUCUCCGGGGGUAGAGCACUGUUUCGGCAAGGGGGUCAUCCCGACUUACCAACCCGAUGCAAACUGCGAAUACCGGAGAAUGUUAUCACGGGAGACACACGGCGGGUGCUAACGUCCGUCGUGAAGAGGGAAACAACCCAGACCGCCAGCUAAGGUCCCAAAGUCAUGGUUAAGUGGGAAACGAUGUGGGAAGGCCCAGACAGCCAGGAUGUUGGCUUAGAAGCAGCCAUCAUUUAAAGAAAGCGUAAUAGCUCACUGGUCGAGUCGGCCUGCGCGGAAGAUGUAACGGGGCUAAACCAUGCACCGAAGCUGCGGCAGCGACGCUUAUGCGUUGUUGGGUAGGGGAGCGUUCUGUAAGCCUGUGAAGGUGUACUGUGAGGUAUGCUGGAGGUAUCAGAAGUGCGAAUGCUGACAUAAGUAACGAUAAAGCGGGUGAAAAGCCCGCUCGCCGGAAGACCAAGGGUUCCUGUCCAACGUUAAUCGGGGCAGGGUGAGUCGACCCCUAAGGCGAGGCCGAAAGGCGUAGUCGAUGGGAAACAGGUUAAUAUUCCUGUACUUGGUGUUACUGCGAAGGGGGGACGGAGAAGGCUAUGUUGGCCGGGCGACGGUUGUCCCGGUUUAAGCGUGUAGGCUGGUUUUCCAGGCAAAUCCGGAAAAUCAAGGCUGAGGCGUGAUGACGAGGCACUACGGUGCUGAAGCAACAAAUGCCCUGCUUCCAGGAAAAGCCUCUAAGCAUCAGGUAACAUCAAAUCGUACCCCAAACCGACACAGGUGGUCAGGUAGAGAAUACCAAGGCGCUUGAGAGAACUCGGGUGAAGGAACUAGGCAAAAUGGUGCCGUAACUUCGGGAGAAGGCACGCUGAUAUGUAGGUGAAGUCCCUCGCGGAUGGAGCUGAAAUCAGUCGAAGAUACCAGCUGGCUGCAACUGUUUAUUAAAAACACAGCACUGUGCAAACACGAAAGUGGACGUAUACGGUGUGACGCCUGCCCGGUGC
rnacentral:rRNA from 1 species